rnacentral:misc_RNA from 1 species
GUUGGUGAACCAGCGGAGGGAUCAUUACUGAGUGCAAACUCUCCAACCAUUGUUUAUCUACCUAUUUUUUGCUUCUCCGGCAGGCGGUUCCAGGGAGGGACCGAGCCCAUGGCCUUAGCCUAAGCACCUGCCGAAGGAGUACCAACUGCUCUAUAUUAUACUGUCUGAGAAAACAAAAAAAAUAUUAAAAUUUUCAAUUGUGGAUCUCUUGGUUCUG